GGACCAAAACUCCCAAAAUCAAUCCAAACCUUCCUUUCGUGGUCAUAAACCCUGUAUAAAAGUUUCAUAGAUUUCUAUUAACUUAUACUAAAGUUAUUGUGCAAAAACCAAGAAAAAUGCUAAUUUGGGACCUGUUUUUGCCCCUAAUUCCUAAACUGUUUGGACUAAAACUCCUAAAAUCAAUCCCUACCUUUCUUUUGUGGUCAUAGACCUUAUGUUAAAAUUUCAUAGAUUUCUGUUUACUUAUGCAAAAGUUAUUGUGCGAAAACCAAGAAAAUGCUUAUUAUGCCCUUUUUGGCCCCUAUUCCUAAACUGUUGGGACACCCAAACCAAUCCCACCUUCCUUUUAUAGUCAUAAACCUUGUGUUUUAAUAAGUUAGAGUGCGAAAACCAAAUUCUUCGAACCCAACGUGAUAUCCAAUAAUAUACGACAAAAAAUGUCGUAUAAAAACCUGUUAUUGUUAUACAUGUAUUGCUUUUGAAUUAACAUAAAAAUAUAUAUUAAGAAAACAAAGUUAUAAAUAAUAUUGAUGAAAUACAAAACUACAUAAACUAUUUGAAUAAAAUAAAUGAAAUGUAUAUGUAAAGUAACAAAAGAAGACACACAAACUUAAAUAGAGGUCAACUAAAAAUCUCAGUGAUAAAGAACUAGAGGCUCUCAAGAGCCUGUAUUGCUCACCUGUUACUGUAUUUACUGAUGUCGGCCAUCUUGUUUGGUAGGUGGGGUCAUUAGAGACUUUUUUUAAAUAGAUACCCUAGUAAUGAUUGUGGCCAAGUUUGGUUAAAUUUGGCCGAUAGUUUUAGAGAAGAAGAUUUUUGUACAAGUUACAAAAAUGACAAAAGUUGUUCAAUAUUGACUAUAAAGGGCAAUAACUCCUAAAGGGGUCCUCUUACAAUUUUGAUCAUGUUGACUUAUUUGUAGAUCUUACUUUGCUGAACAUUAUUGCUGUUUACAGUUUAUCUCUAUCUAUAAU
rnacentral:lncRNA from 1 species